UGGGGAAUAUUGCACAAUGGGCGGAAGCCUGAUGCAGCGACGCCGCGUGGGGGAUGAAGGCCUUCGGGUUGUAAACUCCUUUCGACAGGGACGAAGCUUUUGUGACGGUACCUGUAUAAGAAGCACCGGCUAACUACGUGCCAGCAGCCGCGGUAAUACGUAGGGUGCGAGCGUUGUCCGGAAUUACUGGGCGUAAAGAGCUCGUAGGUGGUUUGUCGCGUCGUCUGUGAAAUUCCGGGGCUUAACUCCGGGCGUGCAGGCGAUACGGGCUGACUUGAGUGCUGUAGGGGAGACUGGAAUUCCUGGUGUAGCGGUGAAAUGCGCAGAUAUCAGGAGGAACACCGAUGGCGAAGGCAGGUCUCUGGGCAGUAACUGACGCUGAGGAGCGAAAGCAUGGGUAGCGAACAGGAUUAGAUACCCUGGUAGUCCAUGCCGUNNCGGUGGGCGCUAGGUGUAGGGGGCUUCCACGUCUUCUGUGCCGUAGCUAACGCAUUAAGCGCCCCGCCUGGGGAGUACGGCCGCAAGGCUA
rnacentral:rRNA from 1 species